AUUGAACGCUGGCGGAAUGCUUUACACAUGCAAGUCGAACGGCAGCAUAGGUGCUUGCACCUGAUGGCGAGUGGCGAACGGGUGAGUAAUACAUCGGAACGUGUCCAGUCGUGGGGGAUAACGUAGCGAAAGUUACGCUAAUACCACAUACGAUCUAAGGAUGAAAGCGGGGGACCGUAAGGCCUUGCGCGAUUGGAGCGGCCGAUGUCAGAUUAGGUAGUUGGUGAGGUAAAGGCUCACCAAGCCGACGAUCUGUAGCUGGUCUGAGAGGACGACCAGCCACACUGGGACUGAGACACGGCCCAGACUCCUACGGGAGGCAGCAGUGGGGAAUUUUGGACAAUGGACGCAAGUCUGAUCCAGCCAUUCCGCGUGCAGGACGAAGGCCUUCGGGUUGUAAACUGCUUUUGUACGGAACGAAAAAGCUCUUACUAAUACUAGGAGUCCAUGACGGUACCGUAAGAAUAAGCACCGGCUAACUACGUGCCAGCCGCCGCAGUAA
rnacentral:rRNA from 1 species